GCUGGACAAGGCAAAUGUGAAAUAUGACUCAUUCUUUUGAUCACUUCAUGCUGUCUGUAUAAGACUGUUCAGGAAAAUCCUUGCAAGAAAGGCUUCCUUGUGGAUUUACAGAUUGUCAGACACCCAAAGGAGUGGAGGAAAGAUCAUGCUGCCUCCGGAAUUUGAGAUACACCACCAGCCCAGGGUGAGAAUCAGAAGACAAGCAAAGGGUCAGGUCUCCCGGACUUAAUUUCACACCUCACAUCAAAUCUCCCGCUGAACACAAUGUGUAUUUACAUUUCCACUUUGAGGCAGAAGUUUCUAUUUGCUUACAUGUGUUGACUCAGUGGAUACCUUCCUUCCCUUUUUGUUUUCCUCCCCCUAAACGGCUUCUAGUAAACAAGACUGGCAGAAGAUGUCAAUCAGAUUUUCAUUUCCAUUUUCACUUUGGUAUUUAUGUCUUCAGAAUUAAUGCUUGCCCCAAUGAUUCUUUUAAAGGAUCAGCCU
rnacentral:lncRNA from 1 species